rnacentral:rRNA from 1 species
UGCUCCUUGGGUGACGAGUGGCGGACGGGUGAGUAAUGUCUGGGGAUCUGCCCGAUAGAGGGGGAUAACCACUGGAAACGGUGGCUAAUACCGCAUAACGUCGCAAGACCAAAGAGGGGGACCUUCGGGCCUCUCACUAUCGGAUGAACCCAGAUGGGAUUAGCUAGUAGGCGGGGUAAUGGCCCACCUAGGCGACGAUCCCUAGCUGGUCUGAGAGGAUGACCAGCCACACUGGAACUGAGACACGGUCCAGACUCCUACGGGAGGCAGCAGUGGGGAAUAUUGCACAAUGGGCGCAAGCCUGAUGCAGCCAUGCCGCGUGUAUGAAGAAGGCCUUCGGGUUGUAAAGUACUUUCAGCGGGGAGGAAGGCGACGGGGUUAAUAACCCUGUCGAUUGACGUUACCCGCAGAAGAAGCACCGGCUAACUCCGUGCCAGCAGCCGCGGUAAUACGGAGGGUGCAAGCGUUAAUCGGAAUUACUGGGCGUAAAGCGCACGCAGGCGGUCUGUUAAGUCAGAUGUGAAAUCCCCGGGCUUAACCUGGGAACUGCAUUUGAAACUGGCAGGCUUGAGUCUUGUAGAGGGGGGUAGAAUUCCAGGUGUAGCGGUGAAAUGCGUAGAGAUCUGGAGGAAUACCGGUGGCGAAGGCGGCCCCCUGGACAAAGACUGACGCUCAGGUGCGAAAA